AUUAGAGGUGUAGUAUGGAAGGGAGUAGGAGCGUAUUGGAAGAGCUUAGUGUAGUCUUAAUUAACUUUAGCAAUAAAGUUGAAUUUGAUUGCGCUGCGUUUGGAAGGUGCGUUCUCUCCCCACCCAGCUCCCUCGCCGUAGCGCCGCCCUCGCGGUGGCGCCACACUUUAUUUCUCCAAUUUGGAACUUGCAAUAUCAAAGAAAAUCCGACUGUUUAAUUAAAACAAAGCAAAUUGAUGGUUAGAAAUGACGUUUACAAUUUGUGAUUUCUGCCCAGUGCUUAGAAUGUCAAUUUGAAGAAAUUCAAAUAAGCGCUGGUAAACGGCGGGAGUAACUAUGACUCUCUUAAGGUAGCCAAAUGCCUCGUCAUGUAAUUUGUGACGCGCAUGAAUGGAUUAACGCGAUUUUCACUGUCCCAACUUGCAUCCUAGCGAACCUACAGCGACGGGAACGGGCGUCGUAUAAUUUGCGGGGAAAGAAGACCCUGUUGAGCUUGACUCUAGUUUGAUGUUGUGAAGGGAAAGUAAUGAUGUAGCGUAGGGGGGAGAAGUUUACUUCGACCUUGAAACACCCCCGCAUUACUAUUCCCUUCGCUUACAAGGUUAAGAGGGAGGGGCGUGCUUUGCACGUCCUUAUUUUAGAAUUAAAGGGGGUCAAUUGCGGCGCGCAUACUGAGGCUGGUUCAUAGUUGUUUGGGGGAGAUUAUAAUUCAUUUAUGAUCUUCUUUUUCAUAACCAUUCAGCUCGGUCUUGUAGAGUCGAGUCGCUUACCCUCCCUGACCCUUUCCUUGGACAGUUUCAGUUGGGGAGUUUGACUGGGGCGGUACAACGUCGAAACGAUAGCGACGUUGUCCAAAGGUGGACUCAGAGAGGACGGAAACCUCUCGUAGAAAAUAAGGUUAAAAGUUCGCUUGACUCUGUUAUUCAGUAAAUAAAUGAGCCUAGAAAUAGUGGCCUAAUGAUCCUUUUGAUUUUUAAAAUGUAAAGCAAGAGGUGCCAGAAAAGUUACCACAGGGAUAACUGGCUUGUGGUGGGCAAGAGUUCAUAUCGACCUCACUUUUUGAUCCUUCGAUGUCGGCUCUUCCUAUCAUUAAAUCGCAGAAGUUUUAAAGUGUUGGAUUGUUCACCCAUUUAAAGGGAACGUGAGCUGGGUUUAGACCGUCGUGAGACAGGUUAGUUUUACCCUACAAAUAAGAUUUAUUUAUUAAAUGGACAGUACGUAUGGUCAGUACGAGAGGAACCCCAUCCGGGAGUCAAUAGUAAAGCGGUUCGUCGACAGACGAGUGCCGCGAAGCCACACUCUAUGUUCGGAAAAAUUGAAAGCCUCUAAAUUCGAACGACACCUGGAAAUUUA
rnacentral:rRNA from 1 species